CCUACGGGAGGCAGCAGUGAGGAAUAUUGGUCAAUGGGCGAGAGCCUGAACCAGCCAAGUCGCGUGAGGGAGUACUGCCCUAUGGGUUGUAAACCUCUUUUGUCGGGGAGCAAAAGCCGGACGUGUCCGGCUGUGAGAGUACCCGAAGAAAAAGCAUCGGCCAACCCCGUGCCAGCAGCCGCCGUAAUACGGAGGAUGCCAGCGUUAUCCGGAUUUAUUGGGGUUAACGGGUGCGCAGGCGGAUUUUUAAGUCAGCGGUCAAAUCGCGGGGCUCAACCCCAUCCAUCGGUUGAAACUGGGGUUCUAGAGUGGGCGAGAGGUAUGCGGAAUGCGUGGUGUAGCGGUGAAAGGCAUAGAUAUCACGCAGAACCCCGAUUGCGAAGGCAGCAUACCGGUGCACAACUGACGCUCAGGCACGAAAGCGUGGGUAUCGAACAGGAUUAGAUACCCGAGUAGUC
rnacentral:rRNA from 1 species